rnacentral:rRNA from 1 species
GAUGAACGCUGGCGGCGUGCCUAAUACAUGCAAGUCGAGCGAAAAGACGAGGAGUUUGUUCUUGUGAGGGUAGCGGCUGGCGGGUGAGUGACGCGUGGAUCACCAACUUCUAAUACUGGGAGAACUUCGGGACGCCGCAUCCAAUACUGCCGCAUAUGUUGAACCGGAUGGGUCAAUAGUGAAAGGGAGUUUUCCCGACACUUAGAGCUGGAUCCGGGCCGCAUUAGCUAGGUGGUAAGGUAACGCCUAACCAAGGCAACGAUGCGGGGCCGACCUGGGAGGGUGAUCGGCCACACUGGAACUGAGACACGGUCCAGACUCCUACGGGAGGCAGCAGUGGGGAAUCUUCCGCAAUGGGCGCAAGCAUGACGGAGCAACCCCGCGUGAGUGAAGACGGUCUUCGGGUCGUAAAACUCUGUUUUUAGGUAAGAACAAGUGCAUAAGUAACCAGGCUCGUGUUGACGGGACCUAAACAGAAAGCCUCGGCUAACUACGUG